GCAUUAUACGCGAAACUGCGAAUGGCUCAUUAUAUAAGUUAUCGUUUAUUUGAUAGUACCUUACUACUUGGAUAACCGUGGUAAUUCUAGAGCUAAUACAUGCUAAAAAUCCCGACUUCGGAAGGGAUGUAUUUAUUAGAUUAAAAACCAAUGCCCUUCGGGGCUCACUGGUGAUUCAUAAUAACUUCUCGAAUCGCAUGGCCUUGCGCCGGCGAUGGUUCAUUCAAAUUUCUUCCCUAUCAACUUUCGAUGCUAGAGUAGUGUUCUAGCAUGGUUACAACGGGUAACGGAGGGUUAGGGCUCGACCCCGGAGAAGGAGCCUGAGAAACGGCUACUACAUCCAAGGAAGGCAGCAGGCGCGCAAAUUACCCAAUCCCGACACGGGGAGGUAGUGACGAUAAAUACUGAUACAGGGCUCUUUUGGGUCUUGUAAUUGGAAUGAGUACAAUUUAAAUCCCUUAACGAGGAACAAUUGGAGGGCAAGUCUGGUGCCAGCAGCCGCGGUAAUUCCAGCUCCAAUAGCGUAUAUUAAAGUUGUUGUGGUUAAAAAGCUCGUAGUAGAACCUUGGGCCUGGCUGGCCGGUCCGCCUCACCGCGUGCACUGGUCCGGACGGGCCUUUCCCUCUGUGGAACCGCAUGCCCUUCACUGGGUGUGCCGGGGAAACAGGACUUUUACUUUGAAAAA
rnacentral:rRNA from 1 species